GUUGGAGCUCUGCCUGUGCUCUGCUGCGCAGCGUGGCAGUUGGCUACUUUCAUGGCGCUCGCAUUCACCGUGAAAUGGCAAAGCGGCUUGUGGAAACGGAUCAUCAACUUCCACGACGCUCGCUUGGAGAAAAUGAAUGAUCUGCUAUCGUGCGUGAGAUUAGUAAAACUGUAUGCUUGGGAGGAAACCUUCGCCAGUGCGUUGGCGAAACUGAGGCGUGAAGAGGUCCUGCAGCAAUUCUACGCGAAUAUUGUGGAUGGAUUCUACGAUUCCCUUCUAGUAUCUUCAAGCGCUGUUAUGACUACCAUACUGUUCGCGACGCUAUCUUGGUUUCAUCCUGAGACACGUAUAACUGCCUCGCUUUCGUUUCCCUGCAUAUACGCCAUGACACUUCUGGAUAUUGCCAAUGUAAACAUAGUCUCCAUUACGAGGUUCCUAUCCAUGUGUUUUCAUGGCGUAAAAAGGAUCACAAAGGCAUGUUCCGAAGUGGAAACGUGCAACACGACAAAUGAAGAGAACAGUCAGG
rnacentral:lncRNA from 1 species